GCCAAAGUUGGAAGAUAAAAGUGCCGUGAUGAUAAUACUUUACUAAUUACUUGUUCAAAAGAAGCUGAUAAUCAUAACUGACAUAAAGUCUAAGCUGAUAUAGCUACUGGCCUAAACAAAAUGCCUAAAUAGAUCUGUGGUGUCCAAUACUUCUCAGUACAAAAAAGUACAACAGAAGAUUAACCAGAUAAUGCAAUUCUCGACCUAAGGCAAAACUCACGUGAUACCAAGCCAGGCAGUAUAAUCACAAGCUGCAACACUAGCAAGGACUUAUGCAAACGUCGCCAAAAUGUUCUUCUUGAGGGUGAACUCAUCCGCCUUAGUGGGGCUGAUUGACUUGGCAAGCAUGCGCUCUAAUCGCUGAAUCUCAUUGUUGGCGUAAUCAGCUCCUUUUUCCAUGGAACUCUUGGCAGCCUUUAGGUAAAUCUUGCCAUACCUUGCAGCAGAACCCUUCAGUUUUCCAGCUUCAUCUUCCAUCUUGCUAAAUACAGCUUUUUUUUUCCUCGUUUGUGGCACCGACGAACUCCUUCACUAAUGUAUCCAGUGAUUCGACAAUACCCGCCUUUGAAGUAAAUUGUCCUUUUGAAUCACGGCUAGUUCCACACUUCUCAUUGAUGAAGUUCACAAAGUCAUCUGCAUCUCGGCCACCAUCAUAAUCCUCACCAGCUUUGUUUCCCUUGGGGAAGAAUUUCAGUGUGGGAUAGCCACUUACACCAUACUUCUCUGCAAGAUCCUUGUGAUUAUCGGCAUCAAGGUUCGCAAUAAUAACAUCUUCCUCUUGCCUGAACGCUGUAGCUACCUUUUCGUAAAUAGGAGCAAGGCUUUUGCAAUGACCACACCAUGGUGCAUAAAAUUCAACCAACACAUCCUUGGUCUCAUCUAGCACAAUUUCAUCAAAGUUAUCUGAAGAUAGCACCACAACGCUAGACGGGAUAGAAGCAAUCUUCACAUUAGUCCCUGCUUCGCUGUUCACGUACUCGGCAAGGGCUUCAGCAGAUCGUGCACCUUCGUAUUUUUUUGGCUCCAGUGAUCCCUUUGGAAACCAUUGGAUAGUGGGGUAACCUUGAACCCCAUAUUUGCUGCAAACACUCUUAUGUUCAUCACAAUCAAUCUUUCCGAUCAAAACAGACUUUGCUUUCUUGAAACUUGCACCAAGCUUUUCAUACUCAGGAGCAAGCUUUUUACAGUGCCCACACCAAGGAGCGUAGAACUCAACGAGAGCAGCGCGAUCUUGACCGAUCUCCUUGUCGAAGUUUUCUUCGGUCAAAACAACGACAUCAUCUGCCAAAGCUGAAGAGAAGAAGAACAAAGCUAAAAUUGCUAAAGCACUACAGAUCUGUGAUCUCCCCAUUUUUACUAGCUCCUAUUCUUGUUAUUGUGAGUUAUAUUAUUUU
rnacentral:misc_RNA from 1 species